rnacentral:rRNA from 1 species
GACGAACGCUGGCGGCGUGCCUAAUACAUGCAAGUCGAGCGGUAAGGCCUCUUCGGAGGUACACGAGCGGCGGACGGCUGAGUAACACGUAGGAACAUACCCCAAAGUGAGGGAUAACUGCUCGAAAGAGUAGCUAAUACCGCAUGUGGUCUUCGGAUUAAAGCUUCGGCGCUUUGGGAAUGGCCUGCGUCUGAUUAGCUAGAUGGUGAGGUAAUGGCUCACCAUGGCGACGAUCAGUAGCUGGUCUGAGAGGAUGAUCAGCCAGACUGGGACUGGGACACGGCCCAGACUCCUACGGGAGGCAGCAGUAGGGAAUUUUCCACAAUGGGCGAAAGCCUGAUGGAGCAACGCCGCGUGCAGGAUGAAUGCCUUCGGGUUGUAAACUGCUUUUAUAUGUGACGAAUAUGACGGUAGCAUAUGAAUAAGGAUCGGCUAACUCCGUGCCAGCCGCCGCCGUAA